GCAGGUACCUUUGCUUUCAAAGUGCUUGUGGUUUUGAGUUUGGUUUGCAUGACGGGUUUUUUACUUUAGUGCGGAUGUCAUGGGACAGCUGUUUUGUUGAGCACGUGCACAAGACGUGGGUCCUACUAUACUACUUGUGAACGAAAUCGUUUAGUGUGUUUUGCUUUCGAGUUGAGUAAGAUCUGGGCAAGGGGCCGCCGCCCCUGAAGGGGUGGAGGUACUCCAAUGGAUUGCAUAGUAGGCGUUUGAAGCUUAUUAUGCAGUCCAUUGGAGAUUCUUUUUCAGGUUGAGAUUUUAGAAUAUUUAGCCAGGUCAGGUGAAAGAUAAAUGUAUAGGUGCAAGAAUAAGUGUUGUGGCUGCUUGCAUCAUGGCUUGAGUUGAGAAGCUGUAGGCUGGUGAAGGUGACGAAGUAAAGUGAGGCGGAGUUUGAUGCUUAGAGGAUAACUGGAACAAAGGUUCGGUGGUCGUGACUGUUUAAUAAUAGAAGUAUUAGAAUGUUGAAUAUGAGGAAAAUUUCCAUACAUCUGUUGGACUUGGCUGGGAGAUGGUAUCUUACGCCCUAAAGAUCUGAAAGGUUGAUAGUUUAACGCAAGGUUAAACAAAGAAAAUAACAAGACUUCAAUUACUUUUGAAAUGCUGUGUAAUAAAAUAUAGAAUUCCAUUCAGCUAUAUUUUAAUUGUCAUAAGCCAUGAAUCUUAUGCUUCGCAUAUGGAAACUUAAGGAACUUUGUUUAUUAAACUGGAAAACCGGAAAACAGUUUCUAAAACUAACUAUAUAUAGUGAUACUGGAAUUUGUUUCCUAUUCAAUUUUGAGCUUUCUAAACUUAGCACCGCCUAAAACUGUUCAUGAACUUUUAGGUUUAAUCAGUUUCAUUAAAAUGUGAAACAUUUGGAGUUCAAAUGUACUCUUA